UUGGUUACCCCUCGCAUGUUAAAAGUACACGGCGUUGCUUACGCCAAACAGCAUAAUAUAUUAUUCAUGAUUUAAGUAGUGAGACACGUCUGAACACCAGUCAC